AUUGAACGCUGGCGGCAUGCCUUACACAUGCAAGUCGAACGGCAGCACGGGAGCAAUCCUGGUGGCGAGUGGCGAACGGGUGAGUAAUAUAUCGGAACGUGCCCAGUCGUGGGGAUAACGUAGCGAAAGCUACGCUAAUACCGCAUACGAUCUAUGGAUGAAAGCGGGGGAUCGCAAGACCUCGCGCGAUUGGAGCGGCCGAUAUCAGAUUAGGUAGUUGGUGAGGUAAAGGCUCACCAAGCCGACGAUCUGUAGCAGGUCUGAGAGGACGACCAGCCACACUGGGACUGAGACACGGCCCAGACUCCUACGGGAGGCAGCAGUGGGGAAUUUUGGACAAUGGGCGCAAGCCUGAUCCAGCAAUGCCGCGUGCAGGAUGAAGGCCUUCGGUU
rnacentral:rRNA from 1 species